CAGCGCACACGCACACGCACACGCACACUACACUCUCUCCCUCGCCCCUGAACCGAGCGCCGCCGCCUCUUCUCUCGUCUCGUCGUCUCCCUUUGCUAGCUCCCCCCUCGCGGCGAGCAGGCGGCCGGUCGGCGGUGCCCAGCCCAGAGUGGGCGCAGGCCAAGGCGGAGUCUGGGCACGCGCUCGUCAACUGUUCCCUCCUCAUUCGUCUCCAUCCAUCCAUGUCUGGAUCUGGUGCGGCCUAGUGACUGGCUGCGCGGCGGAGGCGCUGGGCCCCUACCGCCUCCAACGAAGUCUCUCGCUCCACGCCGUCGUUCCCUUGCGCUUCCAGCACCUCCGCCUCUAGCCCGCCUCCUAUGGAUCCGGCGCCAGAUCCGGUGUAUAAUGGCAUUUAUAGAAGUGUGGUGAACAUUGCCAUCGAAAAAACUCCAGAAAGAACUAUUCGGCAAAAUGGUAUUAUUGUGGAGUGUGAUCCGACCUAUGCAUAUAUUGUAGCAGAUGCUCGUGCGUUUGAGGGAAAUAUUGCAGCUGAUAAAAUCACGGUUGACUUUCCGGGGGAACAAUGCAUAAAACCCCUUCCCAAGCACUGUAAUAUUACAAAUGGAUUGGUUGGAAUCUAUUGCUGUCCGGGUGAUGAAAAGUUCAAUACCGAUCUUUUUAAGAGGGUCGAAAUGUGCAAUCAGCCGCUUCAGAUGUCCGAAGCAGUGUAUGUAUAUAAUGGCUUAUAUGGGCAACUAAUUCCAGGAAAUGUCACACAUAUGACAUUGAAUGGACAUGAGUUCUCGCACAACUGCGCGGUGAGUGUUUCGGCAGAGUUCGGGACUCCGGUGAUCAACAAGAAUGGAGAACUGGUGGGGAUGAAUUGUUCACUUUCAUAUCAUCUUACUGCCAGAAACAUUUCUGCAUUAGUGGGUACAAUUAGGGAUAUUCAGAAUACUCUACGGAAUAGAGUGUAAUUACUAAUGGGAAUGAAAUGUUUGGUUUCAUAUAAUCAUUGCCUCUGCCAAAAACAUUUCCGCAUUAGUAGGCACAAUUUGGAAUAUUCGGAAUACUAUAUGGAAUACAGUGUAAUUUCGAAUAGUCUUGUGGUUAACUUAUUUAGCAUUAGAUGAAACCUGUAAUCCGAGACUAUAUUCUAUCUCAUGGAUUUUAUUUCUCAUA